rnacentral:tRNA from 1 species
GGGGAUUUAGCUCAUUGGUAGAGCGCUUGCCUAGCAAACGCAAGGCCCUGGGUUCAGUCCCCA